rnacentral:tRNA from 1 species
GCGUACUUAGCUCAAUGGUCAGAGCAUCACUCAUGAAUGCUUAGGUUGUGUGUUUGACUCUGAGUCCCACAGUACACA